UUAUUAAGAAGCAAGAAGGAGGAGGGGGAAACUCUAAAGUGCCUUGUUAGUUGUUUCUUCACGUUUUCCGAAUGGACCGAAUAUGCCUCACUCUCCUGCUCUUCGUGGCGGUGGCGAUGUGCCGCGCAGACACCACCAACAACUCCGGCGGCCUGUUAUUGCCCCCUGAUGCGGUGGAUUCUGUUUUAGUUCCGCCUGAAAACUCCGACGGCGGCUUUUCUUCACUGGACAGCAUGUUAAACUGGGCUAUAAGUAAUUCGGAUCCCGAAAAAUUAAAGGAAUCUGCUCAAGCUCAGCAACGGCUCUCACAAAGCGAGCUCCAGAAACGCCAAAUGGAAAUCAAGGAGAUUAUGGAGAAAACAAAGAUGCCUUCGGACGGGGAACUAAUGAAGAUUGCUAUAAGUGACUUGAAUAACAAGUCAGCGUCAUUGGAAGAUAGGUACCGUGCUUUACAGGAGCUCUUAGAGCUCGUGGAGCCAAUAGAUAAUGCAAACGAUUUGCACAAACUUGGGGGACUUGUCGUGAUUACACAGGAACUUAAUCACUCUGAUCCAGGCAUAAGGACAAUUGCUGCAUGGAUCCUUGGGAAAGCUAGUCAAAAUAACCCAAUUGUGCAGCAGCAGGUCUUGGAACUCCAAGUACUCUCUAAGCUGAUGAAAAUGGUAAAGUCUGAUUCUGUAGAAGAAGCCAAUAAGGCACUAUAUGCAGUUUCAGCAUUAAUUCGGAAUAAUGCUGCAAGUCAGGAGAAGUUCUAUGCUGAAGCUGGAGGUUGGAUGCUUCACGAUAUUUUGAGGAAUGCUAAUCUUGAUAUCAGACUACGGAAGAAGGCUGUGCUCCUAUUGGCCGAUCUAGCAGCGUAUCAAUUAGAGAAUGUAGACAGAGAUGGACCGCCUUUUUUCAAUGACCGGGAUCUGUUGAAGUCAGUAGUUGAUUUAACUGCAUCACCUGAUCUUGAUCUCCAGGAAAAGGCUCUUGUAGCGAUUAAAAGUUUUCUGCAACUAAGGAUCACUGAAGCUCUCGUUUUCAGAGAUUUUUGUGCUUUGGGCAAUGCACUGAAUAGGAUGAAGCAAUCGUUGCAUGAUUUGAUGGCAGACGAGUAUCAGAGAGACUAUGUGAUGGAUGUGGAAACCCUUCGCAUUGAAGUGGAACAAAUUUUCCAUAAAAAACUCGUAAAGCAGUGAUGAGUUCACAUUCCUGUGAUCAUAAUGACGCAUAAUUAUUCAGUUUCUAGGGAUUAAUAAUUCAAUAUCAAUCUUAUAGUUGUGUAUACCAAAAAGGAAAAAGAAUCUAUGAACGAGACAAUCCAGGGUUGAGAGUUGUUAUCGACAAUUGUUCAUUUUACUAGUCUUAUUCUAUGUUAUCGACAAAUGUUAAUGAGAUUUUGAUUUUAACAAAUCACUCCUUUGAAGUUCAACAUAGGUAGUUGUUGAUCUGCUCAUUACUAAGAUUGUGAUUAACAAAGAGGC